rnacentral:misc_RNA from 1 species
GAUGAAGAACGUAGCGAAAUGCGAUAAGUAAUGUGAAUUGCAGAAUUCAGUGAAUCAUCGAAUCUUUGAACGCACAUUGCGCCCGCCAGUAUUCUGGCGGGCAUGCCUGUCUGAGCGUCAUUUCAACCCUCAAGCAACUUCUGCUUGGUGUUGGGGAUCGGCCGUUAAACGCCGCCCCCGAAAUCUAUUGGCGAUCUCGCUGUAGCUUCCUAUGCGUAGUAGUAACAUCUCGCGUCUGGAGAGCGGCGCGGUCAUGCCGUAAAACACCCAACUUCUCAGGUUGACCUCAGAUCAGGUAGGAAUACCCGCUGAACUUAAGCAUAUCAAUAAGCGGAGGA